GGUUUUUUUUUCUUCUUUUUUUUCUGGCCAUGCCACGUGGCUUGCAGAAUCUUAACUCUGGGACGGGGGACUGAGUCUGGGCUGUGGCCAGUGAAAGUGCUGAGUCCUAACCACCGGACUGCCAAGGAAUUCUCUGGGCUCAAAUUGGAGGGGGAUGCAAAGGGCCAACAGGGAGGAAGAUCAGAGAACAGGCUCUUGCGGGGGGUGAUGGUGGAGAGGGACAGUAGAAGGAUGCUGGCCAAGCAACCUCACAGCCCAGCCCUGCUCCUCCCACCCUCCCUGAGUAGGGGUGAGGAGGUGGUUCAGUCAGCCCAGACAUGAGCACCUACAGCAUGCAGCACCUAUGUGCGGAGUGCCUUCCUGGAUCCUGCUGUCCCCGAACUAGAUGAAUCAUAACCAAGCAUCAGGAUCUUUUCUAAUGAGUCGGCUCAUCACAUCAGGUGGCCAAAGUAUUGGAGCUUCAGUUUCAGCAUUAGUUCUUCCGACGAUGGCCAGGAUCUGAGGCACCAUGGAAAUGACACUUGGUGGAGAACAGCCCCUCCGAUCCAGCUUCUGGGACCCGCUCUGCUUCUUGCUGCCAGUGGUGGCCUCAGUUGCAGGUGCUAUAACUACACACGGCGGCAAGAAGGAAUGGGAACGGAAGGCCUCCCCUGCAGAGAACGGGGCCACAUGACCACCUUCCUGCAGGAGCCAGCAUCCAACAAAGAGAAAUAUGUCUGCCUCCUGAGACUGGCCCAUGGCUGCAUCUAAAAAAAUAUCACGGGGACUUCCCUGGUGGUCCAGUGGGCUGAGAUCCUGCCCUUCCAAUGCAGGGCGCUCAGGUUCCAUCCGUGAUUGGGGAACUAGAUCCCACAGCACGCAACUAAGAGUUCUCA